rnacentral:lncRNA from 1 species
AUCCCACUGCUUGAAGCUACACCUUUUGUAUUCAUACACUACCCAUCUCCCGUCCAAGAGGUUGAAAUUCUGAAUCAGGGCCCGCCCACUAUCAUAGCUCUACCAGUCCUAAUACCCACCACCUGCAUUUACUUGGAUUCACCUGUGUGCCAUUGUGAAACAUAUGAACAACUGAUAAGACCACAUAAUAUCACAAUCUUGGACAUCAUAAUUUUUUUAACGUCGCAACCAUAUAAUACUAGUAGAAUGCCCGUGCGUUGUCACGGGCACUUACAAUAUUUUAUAAGUUAUACAAAGGUAAUGCAUGCCACUUUUUAUAUGUAGAGACUAUAUAACAUUAGCACAAUUACUUAAUAAUAAAAGUCCACUUUACUUCCAAUGAAAAGUCAUAACAAUAAAACAAAUUGAUGACAUGUCCACGAAACAAAUUGAG